GCGAGCAUGUUUUCCUGCAUCAAGAAAUUGCGAAAUCAGCCCAACUCCUUCAGUGUGGUCCAGAGGCUGUUUCGGCGAAAAGCAGCCAAGAUGAAUAGCCAACGCACCGACCGGCUUUUACAGUGCUGUGCUACUUGCAACCGCGGCCGUUAUGAAUGCUGAGUUCGGCGGCUACGGUGGUGGCACAACCUACCAUUUCGACAAUCAGAGGGCGGGACCAGGCUACGGCGGAGGCUACGGUGACUACGGGGGACCGGGCUUUGGAGGUUACGGAGGACCGUACGGCGGAUACGGAGGAGGGCCUUAUGAUGGUUACGGGGGAUACGGAGGCUACGGUGGCCCCGGCGGCUUCGGUGGAGGCUAUGGCCGGGCGUUCGGCUACGGAUUUGCUGUCGGACAUGGAGGACACGGCUUCUACGGCUAGAAUGGGUUCCGCCGCCUUUAGGUUCUUUAUUCGCGAGUAAGCGUGGUGCACUUCGUAAUUUCACGUGGCUUUAUGUGCGUACAAUAAAUUGUUCAUGUUGA